GGACCAGGGAUCAAACCAAAGCCACAGCUGUAACCAGAGCAACAGCAGUGACAACACUGGGUCCUUAACCCUCUGAGCCACAAGGGAACUCCUUCCCACAGUUCUUGGAGUGCUGGUGGGGUUGUCCUUCAAUGCUGAGUGACUGGUACCACUCUUUACUGCCCUGGGCAAUGCUAUCAUAAUUUCUUGUUGCCAAGUUUUCAUGUGUCCCGGGAAACGUAGCUCUUCCCUUUGAAAGAUCCCUCCAUCCUCUCCCCGGCCACACGUUGCCCUCCCUCCCCAUCCCCUUGCACGACCACGUGGCUCUGUGUUCCACCUGACAGACAGUAGCUGGAACGAGAACGAAUAGCACAUGUUCACGGAAAUGAGCCAUCACACAUGGGAAAGGCUUGAGGCACACCAGCCAAUGCUCGUUGCCCUGAGGCUCCGGCUCAGAAAGAAAACAAGUACGAAGGCCAAUCCCACUCCUCCCUGAGCCUCUCAAUCCCAAUGGAAAGCUUCUUGCUUCCAUUAUCCAGUGUUUGGAGAUCCUUUUGUUGAAGGGAAACUGUACUGGGAAGACUAACGUGUAGAACACGUAGACUCCGAGGUUCUGAGCAGGAUUACAAGGGGAAGCUCCUUGACUCUCCCCUCCAUCUCUCCUCCUCCCCAUGCCCUCCUCUGAUGGCCUUUAAGGAAAGCCUAGCAGGGACUUGGCCAAGCAGGGGCAGAAGCACUGGAACUAGAUCAUUAGGGAGGCCAAGCAUUCCUUCAGCUGCCUCCAGCAUGCGAGGCCUCUGUUCACACUCAGCUCCAAGCCUCCUGUGUCGAGUGGGAUGAGGGUUUUCAUUGUGCGGGUAAUGUAUAGGUUUUAAUAUACAUGUUUGCAAGCUCCGUCUUUGAUACACCCCGUGCAUUUCUGAAUAGGAACAACGUCCCCGGCGAUUCCUCCAUCUGAGCAGCAGCCAAAUCUGCAGUCGCUCUCCUGUAGAGCAAAGCAAAAGCCAACAAUAAAAAAACUAAAUAGCAAAUCAACAGGGUGUCGUUCUUGAACAAAUGCACAUUCAUAAUUUGCAACUGUGUAGUUAUAAAUCCCCUCCUAGAGCUUCGUUCUAACGACCCAAAGCAGAGAGGAAGCUUUUAUUUUUUUCCCUCCAUUUGGGUAUUGGGUGACAGAGCAAUGUGCAUUUGCCAACAGUGCAAAUAUUUAUACUCUUCAGUACUUUAAAGCCUUAUUUCAGAUGUAGUGGAGUUACAGAGAAUCAAUGCCUGAUUUUACCAAACGCUGCCUUGGCAAGAGAGAGAGAGAGAAGGAGGGAGGGAAAAGAAAAGAGAAAAAAAGAUCCUAAUCCUAUCAACUGCAGAUAUUAAUUUUCGAGAGAAAAGAGUAUUCUUAAUUUGACCCAAGAGGUUUAAAGACGCGGGCUUCAUCACCAGGUCCCCAGCAGAAAUGCUCGUAUGUGUGUGUGACUGUAGGCAUGCAAAUCUUAACCCCAAAUGUUCUUUCCAACCAAAGCCAAGCACACAGUGACUGGGCGAGAGGCAGAACAUUCUGGGAUCCAUUUCGUUUCAAUCCCAACCCUGAUCGAGAGAUGUGGAAGAAGUCAACAGGAAGAGAAUUCUAGAACAAAGAUUAUGUCUGUCAUUCAGAGCAUCCAGUCUGGAGCCGAGUGCUACUUCAGCGUUACUUCCCAAAGUCAGCACCAGAUCAUCUGCCACAAGCCAGACCCUCUAAAUCCUUUCUACACACAGUUCCCGAGCCUCCUGGGCAUGUUCCUUCACAUCAAGUAGUAAUGAACAGAACUUGGUCAACCGCAGAUAAGACUCAUCAAAGUAGAACUUCUGAGACAAAUUGUGUAGAUGUGUUUAAAGUCUGAUGCAUUUUGUCCAUCUCUUCAUUUUACAGAGGAGGAAACUGAGGAACAGAGAUGGUGAUCUUCCACGUGGGCCUUUCUCAGAAACGGCUGCCUCGGCCCCAAGAACCACGGUGACAGGCCUGCUCUGGGGUUAGCUCAGGUGCCUACUUUCCCAAGACGGCGAGCCAAGACCCUUCCCCCUUCCCCGUGGGACACCACACACCUCCAGCUUUCUCGGGAUUACGAGACCACCCUGCCAUGAGACCCUCUGACUUUCUCAUGACAACCUGACCACCAGAGUCCAGCUGCAGGUGGAAGAUAAACUAAACUCCCCCCGGUCAGGGGAUCCCAUCUCCCUUCUGCGGGGUAUAAAGAAGGCCCUGCGAGAAGAGUGGGGAGCUGGCUCUUCUCAAGGGUCAGUCACCCUCUCCCUUUCCCCCCUAAUAAAUUUUCUUCUCUUUGCCUG